rnacentral:rRNA from 1 species
UACGAAGGGGGCUAGCGUUGUUCGGAUUUACUGGGCGUAAAGCGCACGUAGGCGGAUCGUUAAGUGAGGGGUGAAAUCCCGAGGGCUACCAACCCUGGAACUGCCUUUCAUACUGGCGAUCUUGAGUCCGGAAGAGGUGAGUGGGACUCCUAGUGUAGAGGUGGAAAUUCGUAGAUAUUAGGAAGAACACCAGUGGCGAAGGGCG